CCCGGGUGCGCGUGCGCACAGGCUUCCUGGCCCCGCCUCUGGUUCCUCUUCUCCUGGCCGGCCAAUCCCAGAAAGCCCCGCGCGCCGGUUUCCAAGGCGACGCGUCAGAGCCAGGAGGCCGCGGGGCUGGCGCUGCACCUGCAGCCGCGCGGAGCAGAGAAGCACCAAAAGAGGCAAAUUGAAAUGAAGACAAGUGAGCAUUCCUACGCUGAUCACUUUGAUAAUAUGUACAGUUUCCCAAGACUGAACCAGGAAGAAACAGAAAAUAUGAACAGACCAAUUACAAUUUCAUUAAAAAUGAAAUUGAAUCAGAAAUAAUAAUUUUUUUUUUAACUUUCAACAAACUAAAGUCCAGGACCAGAUGGCUUCACAGGUGAAUUCUACCAAACAUUAGAGAAGAGUUAACACCUAUCCUUCUCAAACUAUUCCAAAAAACUGCAGAGGAAGGAAUGUUUCUGAACUCAUUUUACAAGGCCAGCAUCACCCUGAUACCAAAACCAGACAAAUAUACCACCAAAAAAAAAAAAAAUUAUAGUCCAGUAUCACUGAUGAACAUAGAUGCAAAUAUGCUCAACAAAAUAUUAGCAAACCAAAUCCAACAAUACAUUAAAAGGGUCAUACACCAUUAUCAAGCAGGAUUCAUCCCAGGGAUGCAAGGAUGAUUCAAUAUCUGCAAAUCAAUCAAUCAUUGUGAUACACCACAUUAACAAAUUGAAGAAUAAAUACCA